UCAGGGUGAGGUAGUAAGUUGUAUUGUUGUAAGGGGGUAGAGAUUUUGCCCCCAAUUUGGAGAUAACUAUACAGCUUACUGCCUUCCCAGC